CUUGGCGACCAUAGCGUUUUGGACCCACCUGAACCCAUUCCGAACUCAGAAGUGAAACGAAAUAGCGU
rnacentral:rRNA from 1 species